rnacentral:rRNA from 1 species
GUGGACGAGAGGGAAAGAGCCCAGACCAUCAGCUAAGGUCCCAAAAUUUACACUAAGUGGAGAACGUUGUGGGGUUACUUUGACAACUAGGAGGUUGGCUUAGAAGCAGCAAUCCUUUAAAGAAAGCGUAAUAGCUCACUAGUCUAGUGACCCUGCGCGGAAGAUACAACGGGGCUAAGUGUAAUACCGAAGCUAUGGCUAACGUAAGUUAGGGUAGGGGAGCGUUCUGCUCUAGGAUGAAGGUUGACCGUAAGGACAGCUGGACGAAGCAGAAGUGAUCAUGCUGACAUAAGUAGCGUAUAACUUGAGUGAAAAACUCAAGCGCCGAAAACUCAAGGGUUCCUGGGCAAGGAUAAUCCUCCCAGGGUUAGUCGAGACCUAAGACGAGGCCAAUUGGCGUAGUCGAUGGAAGAACGGUUAAUAUUCCGUUACCAAUUUCGGAUUGCCUUCGGAAUGACGGAUUAGGCUAUCUCAGCCUGUAAUUGGAUUCAGGUGUAAGCAUGUAGGUGGUGUCGUAGGUAAAUCCGCGGCACUUAACACUGAGGUG